rnacentral:rRNA from 1 species
GACGAACGCUGGCGGCGCGCUUAACACAUGCAAGUCGAGCGAGAACCAGAGCUUCGGCUCUGGGGACAGCGGCGAACGGGUGAGUAACACGUGAGUAAUCUGCCCUCGGCACCGGGAUAGCCCGGGGAAACCCGGAUUAAUACCGGAUAGCCUCCCGAGCUUUCGGGCUCGUGAGAAAAGGUAGCUUCGGCCUCUGGCCGGGGAGGAGCUCGCGGCGGAUUAGCUUGUUGGUGGGGUAACGGCUCACCAAGGCGACGAUCCGUAGCUGGUCUGAGAGGACGAUCAGCCACACUGGGACUGAGACACGGCCCAGACUCCUACGGGAGGCAGCAGUAGGGAAUCUUGCGCAAUGGGCGAAAGCCUGACGCAGCGACGCCGCGUGCGGGAAGAAGGCCUUCGGGUUGUAAACCGCUUUCAGGAGGGACGAAGCCACUCGGGUUAAUAGCCCAGAGGGUGACGGUACCUCCAGAAGAAGCCCCGGCUAACUACGUGCCAGCAGCCGCCGUAAGAC